CAGGGAAAUGCCCUUUCAAGUCUUCCGAGUCCCAACCCUGUAAAAAUGUCGCCAGCAAACGGCUUAAAGGUGUACUACCAAGAGUAAAAGCUGAGCAGCAGAUUCCUGAUAACGUUUAUGCGUGUAGACAAACCAGGCCUCGAUUCCGUUCGGUCUGCAGUAGGACUGAAGCCAUCUGAUUGUCGCAUAGUGAAGGCUAAUUGAGAAAACAGACUUAGGUGCAGACACGGUGUUCAGCCCUUGGAUAGCAUUCAAUAGCUCAGAGCUGGCAACAGUGGAGCUUCUGUCACCUAUCGUCUUGAAGGGCCCAGGAAGAGAGCUGGCCCUUAGGCAAGAAUGCCUGACAGGAAUGUUCAGCAAAGGAAGCCGUGCCCAUCUUUGGGCAGAGAAGAAAAUAGUCUCUAAACUCUAAGAGCUGCGGCUGGAGAGAGAGCUCAUCCAGUGAAGUCACUCUUGGUGAGUUCCUGGUUUUGACCUUGUCAUCAGAAUGACCAGACUGUGGGCAGAGAGAGCUUGACACUUUCACCCCCAACUCCUGUCCUCUGCAGAAGGGAGAAGGGCUGGAAGCUGAACUGAUUCCUGAUGAAAUCUCUAUGAAAAUCCUCUGAGCUAGAGCUUCAAGCAGCUGGGCUGCAGACCAUCUGAAGGGUCCUGGAGGGUAGUGAACCCAAAGAGGAGCACGGAAGCUCCAUCCGGCUCCCACCUGACCAUACUUUG